rnacentral:lncRNA from 1 species
CAGGGGGUGGAGGAGCUUGUGUGUGGGGGCAAGGUCCUUCCAUUCCUGUUAGUUGAUCUUUUCCUGAGCACUGGCAUAAAGGAUGGCUGGCCACUUGGAUGCUUCUCACAAACCUGGACCAUAAGGGAACUUGGAGAAACAAGUAUGUGAGAACAUUCUCAGUGGCAUCUUCUGCAUCUCAGAAAAGUCUCUGGAGAAGGAGGGAGCUGAAGAAAUUCUGUCCUGUGUUGUUACCUGAUGCCUUAAGACUCUUGCAGACCUGCAGGAGGGGUUGGAGAAAUGGGUCAUGGCAAACUCUCCAGGUGAUCCAGUAUUGGGAGCUCCCAAGAACAUCUCCAUGGAAAGGCUUCUCUCCUCUGGCUUCUGGGAAACCUGCUCCUUCCAUGUAUCUUCUCUAAGUGCUUCUGAGGAUCCUACUCAACACUGGGCACACGCUCUCACCUGUAGACCACCUUGAGCACAGCAAGACUAUAUUCUUGUCUCGCUUCCUGUGUGGUGCCCAGGGUUAGCUCCUUCCACAAGAAUCUUCAGCUUAAUCAAGAGGACCCAAGAAAAGGAAUUCAGGUACACCUUUCAUGUCAUUCUCCAAGUAGAGCUUUGCCUGCAGCUUGAAGCUUGGGUCUCACCUUCGAGUGCUGGGUGUAAGCAGCCCUAGGUAUGGCUGUCUGGUCUGCACCUCAUCUCUGGGUGUCACAGAGAGCAUGUUUGGUAUUGGAUUCCACUAAGAAUUCUACUCAGUUUGGAAGAACCGUCUGUCCUUUAAGUCCUUGGUCUGGACACCUGGUUCCAGGACAGUUGUGGCAGUGGAAGAUCUUGAUGGGCACUGAGCCUUGUUUUGAGAGUCUUCCAUAGGAAGACCCAAGAGCCAGACCCAGGAGCAAUUAUGGCUACCGGAACUCUGUGGGUUUUCUGCCUUCUUCCCAUGGAAGUACUGCCUCCAGUCACAGAGGGACAAUGUGUCCUCAUUUUCCCGAGUCCCUCUGCAUCUGAACCCAGUAACAUGAAGCAGUUCCUUGUGUUGGCGCUGCCUCGACAGGCCAGCUGCUUCACACAGCCAGAAAGGUGCCAACUUUUGUGUCGUGCUAUCAGAAUGGAAUGUUUUAAUUGAGAUAUUUAGCUAAGAUAAACAAGACUUUUCAUAAUGUC